rnacentral:rRNA from 1 species
GUUGUAUGGUUAAGUGACUAAGCGUACACGGUGGAUGCCUUGGCAGUCAGAGGCGAUGAAGGACGUAUUAACUUGCGAUAAGCCCAGAUUAGGCAGUAAAAGCCACUUGAGUCUGGGAUUUCCGAAUGGGGAAACCCAACUGCAUAAGCAGUUACUGUUAACUGAAUACAUAGGUUAACAGGGCGAACCGGGGGAACUGAAACAUCUAAGUACCCCGAGGAAAAGAAAUCAACCGAGAUUCCGAAAGUAGCGGCGAGCGAAAUUGGACUAGCCCUUAAGCUUUACACGCGUUAGACGAACGGUCUGGAAAGUCCGACGAUACAGGGUGAUAGUCCCGUAGUUGACGACGUGUG